CUCAAUGGGCACAAUAAGAUGACCAUCUAUGGGUCACAAUAAAAUUUUGAGAAUUUUGGAGGUUAAAGUCAUAAGACUAUAGAGAAUUUUGGAGGUUAAAGUCAUAAGACUAUCAAAUUUUGGAGGUUAAAGUCAUAAGACUAACAAAGGCCACUAUGGGCACAAAAUAAGCCACUAUGGGCAUACAAGGCCACUAUGGGCAUAAGAAAGGCCACUAUGGGUCCAAAAAUGACCUCUAUGGGUCCAAGAAAAGCCUCUAAUGGGCACAAAAACAGACCACUAUGGGUCACAACAAGCCACUAUGGGCAAAAUCAAGAAGAGGGAAUAUGGAAAGAAUAAAAGAGAAAAUGAAUGUGUUUAGAAGAAGGAAAGAAAAUGUUGAAAGAAUCAAGAGUGUGAGAAUUUAUCUCACAAAUCAGAAUUGAAGAAUCAGAAAGAAAAUUUCAGAAAGCAUACAAAUUCACCUCCAUCAUCCAACAAAUUCACCAACUCAUCAUGUACUCAACCAUUACAUACAAUAACAAAUUCAACACUACAACUUCAAUCUAAGAACACCUAAUACCAACUUCAAUCAUCAAUCUCAAUCUCAAUCUCAAUCAAACACCAAUAAAACCAGAACAUCAAUACAACAAUAAUAAACCCAGAAAACAUUGUCAGUUGAAUUAUUACCGGAGUAACUGUGCAUAUAACUUGGCGAAAUCAACAAGUUACCGAUGAAAACUUGCAGUUGAAAGCUUGAGCCGAAAAACAAGAAUCAAAUCUUGAAUGCUUCGAAUAAGAUUUCAUAAUUCGUAGAGGAGAUAAUAGUGAAAA